AUUGAACGCUGGCGGCAUGCUUUACACAUGCAAGUCGAACGGCAGCACGGGUGCUUGCACCUGGUGGCGAGUGGCGGACGGGUGAGUAAUACAUCGGAACGUGUCCAGAAGAGGGGGAUAACGCAUCGAAAGAUGUGCUAAUACCGCAUAUGCUCUGAGGAGGAAAGUAGGGGAUCGAAAGACCUUACGCUUUUGGAGCGGCCGAUGUCUGAUUAGCUAGUUGGUGGGGUAAGGGCCUACCAAGGCGACGAUCAGUAGUUGGUCUGAGAGGACGACCAGCCACACUGGGACUGAGACACGGCCCAGACUCCUACGGGAGGCAGCAGUGGGGAAUUUUGGACAAUGGGCGCAAGCCUGAUCCAGCAAUGCCGCGUGAGUGAAGAAGGCCUCGGUUGUAA
rnacentral:rRNA from 1 species